CCCCUAGAUGUUCUGGGCCGCACGCGCGCUACACUGAACAGUUCAACAAGUCUUAACCUUGGCCGAUAGGUCUGGGUAAUCUUUGAACGCUGUUCGUGAUUGGGAUAGACCUUUGCAAUUAUGGGUCUUCAACGAGGAAUUCCUAGUAAACGCAAGUCAUCAGCCUGCAUUGAUUACGUCCCUGCCCUUUGUACACACCGCCCGUCGCACCUACCGAUUGAAUGGUCCGGUGAAAUCUCGGGACGGCGGCUUGGUCGCUUGCGUCCGACUGCUGAAACUUGAUUAAACCAUAUCAUUUAGAGGAAGGUGAANUCGUANCA
rnacentral:rRNA from 1 species